rnacentral:rRNA from 1 species
AGUGAACGCUGGCGGUAGGCCUAACACAUGCAAGUCGAACGGCAGCACAGUAAGAGCUUGCUCUUACGGGUGGCGAGUGGCGGACGGGUGAGGAAUACAUCGGAAUCUACUUUUUCGUGGGGGAUAACGUAGGGAAACUUACGCUAAUACCGCAUACGACCUACGGGUGAAAGCAGGGGAUCUUCGGACCUUGCGCGAUUGAAUGAGCCGAUGUCGGAUUAGCUAGUUGGCGGGGUAAAGGCCCACCAAGGCGACGAUCCGCAGCUGGUCUGAGAGGAGGAUCAGCCACACUGGAAGUGAGACACGGUCCAGACUCCUAAGGGAGGCAGCAGUGGGGAAUAUUGGACAAUGGGCGCAAGCCUGAUCCAGCCAUACCGCGUGGGUGAAGAAGGCCUUCGGGUUGUAAAGCCCUUUUGUUGGGAAAGAAAAGCAGCAGGUUAAUACCCCGCUGUUCUGACGGUACCCAAAGAAUAAGCACCGGCUAACUUCGUG